GGAAAGGUGAAAAGAACCCCGGGAGGGGAGUGAAAUAGAACAUGAAACCAUAAGCUUACAAGCAGUAGGAGGACGAUUUAACGUUUGACUACGUUCCUGUUGAAGAAUGAGCCGGCGACUUAUAGGUAAUGGCUUGGUUAAGAUAGUGAAUAUUGAAGCCAUAGCGAAAGCGAGUCUGAAAAGGGCGUUUGUCAUUAUUUAUAGACCCGAACCCGGAUGAUCUAACCAUGGCCAGGA
rnacentral:rRNA from 1 species